AUUGAACGCUGGCGGCAGGCCUAACACAUGCAAGUCGAGCGCGCGGCGGACGGGUGAGUAAUGUAUGGGGACUGCCCGAUAGAGGGGGAUAACUCUUGGAAACGGUAUCUAAUAUCGCACACUCCCUGCUAACCCAUAUGGGAUUAGCUUGUAGGUGAGGUAAUGGCUCACCUAGGCGACGAUCCCUAGCUGGUCUGAGAGGAUGAUCAGCCACACUGGGACUGAGACACGGCCCAGACUCCUACGGAGGCAGCAGUGGGGAAUAUUGCACAAUGGGCGCAAGCCUGAUGCAGCCAUGCCGCGUGUAUGAAGAAGGCCCUAGGGUUGUAAAGUACUGUCAGUCGGGAGGCGUUACCGACAGAAGAAGCAACGGCUAACUCCGUGCCAGCAGCCGCGGUAAUAC
rnacentral:rRNA from 1 species